rnacentral:rRNA from 1 species
CCGCUAUUGGAUGAGCCCACGUCGGAUUAGCUAGUUGGUGAGGUAAAGGCUCACCAAGGCGACGAUCCGUAGCUGGUCUGAGAGGAUGAUCAGCCACACCGGGACUGAGACACGGCCCGG